CAGUAGCCGCGGUAAAACGGAGGGGGCUAGCGUUGUUCGGAAUUACUGGGCGUAAAGCGCACGUAGGCGGCUUGGUAAGUUAGAGGUGAAAGCCCGGAGCUCAACUCCGGAAUUGCCUUUAAGACUGCCGAGCUAGUAGGUGAGAGAGGUAAGUGGAAUUCCGAGUGUAGAGGUGAAAUUCGUAGAUAUUCGGAAGAACACCAGUGGCGAAGGCGGCUUACUGGCUCAUUAUUGACGCUGAGGUGCGAAAGCGUGGGGAGCAAACAGGAUUAGAUACCCCUGUAGUCCCUGUCUCUUAUAC
rnacentral:rRNA from 1 species